rnacentral:rRNA from 1 species
AUUGAACGCUGGCGGCAUGCCUUACACAUGCAAGUCGAACGGCAGCACGGGUGCUUGCACCUGGUGGCGAGUGGCGAACGGGUGAGUAAUACAUCGGAACGUACCUUAUCGUGGGGAUAACGCAGCGAAAGCUGUGCUAAUACCGCAUACGCCCUGAAGGGGAAAGCGGGGGAUCGAAAGACCUCGCGCGAUUAGAGCGGCCGAUGCCUGAUUAGCUUGUUGGUGGGGUAAAAGCCCACCAAGGCUACGAUCAGUAGCUGGUCUGAGAGGACGAUCAGCCACACUGGGACUGAGACACGGCCCAGACUCCUACGGGAGGCAGCAGUGGGGAAUUUUGGACAAUGGGGGCAACCCUGAUCCAGCAAUGCCGCGUGAGUGAAGAGGGCCUUCAGGUUGUAAAGCUCUUUUGUCAGGGAAGAAACACCGGCUCUAACACAGUCCGGGAAUGACGGUACCUGAAGAAUAAGCACCGGCUAACUACGUGCCAGCAGCCGCCGUAA